AUUGAACGCUGGCGGCAUGCCUUACACAUGCAAGUCGAACGGCAGCACGGGUGCUUGCACCUGGUGGUGAGUGGCGAACGGGUGAGUAAUACAUCGGAACAUGUCCUGUAGUGGGGGAUAGCCCGGCGAAAGCCGGAUUAAUACCGCAUACGAUCCACGGAUGAAAGCGGGGGACCUUCGGGCCUCGCGCUAUAGGGUUGGCCGAUGGCUGAUUAGCUAGUUGGUGGGGUAAAGGCCUACCAAGGCGACGAUCAGUAGCUGGUCUGAGAGGACGACCAGCCACACUGGGACUGGGACACGGCCCAGACUCCUACGGGAGGCAGCAGUGGGGAAUUUUGGACAAUGGGCGAAAGCCUGAUCCAGCAAUGCCGCGUGUGUGAAGAAGGCCUUCGGGUUGUAAAGCACUUUUGUCCGGAAAGAAAUCCUUGGCUCUAAUACAGUCGGGGGAUGACGGUACCGGAAGAAUAAGCACCGGCUAACUACGUG
rnacentral:rRNA from 1 species